rnacentral:rRNA from 1 species
UACGGAGGGUGCAAACGUUGCUCGGAAUUAUUGGGCGUAAAGCGCACGUAGGCGGUCUGCUAUGUCGGGUGUGAAAAUCCCUCGGCUUAACCGAGGAAGUGCAUUCGAAACUGGCAGACUUGAAUACUCAAGAGGGUCUCGGAAUUCCCGGUGUAGAGGUGAAAUUCGUAGAUAUCGGGAGGAACACCAGUGGCGAAGGCGGAGACCUGGGGGAGAUAUUGACGCUGAGGUGCGAAAGCGUGGGGAGCAAACAGGGAUUAGAAACCCCAUGU